UACGUAGGGUGCGAGCGUUGUCCGGAAUUAUUGGGCGUAAAGGGCUCGUAGGCGGUUUGUCGCGUCGGGAGUGAAAUCCACUGGCUUAACUGGUGGCUUGCUUUCGAUACGGGCAGACUGGAGGUAUGCAGGGGAGAACGGAACUCCUGGUGUAGCGGUGAAAUGCGCAGAUAUCAGGAGGAACACCGGUGGCGAAGGCGGAUCUCUGGGCCUUACCUGACGCUCAGGUGCGAAAGCUAGGGGAGCGAACAGG
rnacentral:rRNA from 1 species